GGAGUAGCAGUGUUAUCUGUGGUGAUCCAUGUUUCCGUCAGCGCCAGGAAGUCUAGGGACUGGAGGGUAGCAUAGGCUGAGAUGAACUCAGCCUUGUUGGCCGCAGACCGGCAGUUCCAGAGGCUGCCGGAGACCUGGAACUCCACGUGGGUCGUGCGCGCUGGGACCACCAGGUUAGAGCGGCAGCGGCCACGCGGUGUGGAGCGUUUGUAUGGCCUGUGCAGAGGAGAGAGAACAGGGAUAGGCGGACACAUAGUAGACAAGCUACAGAAGAGGCUACGCUAAUGCAAAUGAGAUUGGAGUGACAAGUGGACUACACGUCUCGAAUGUUCAGGAAGUUAAGCUUACGUUGCAAAAAUGUUAUUGACUAAAAUGAUACAGUACUGCUGGCUGGUGGAGUAGGCUAGCUAGCAGUGGCUGCGUUGUUGACUUUGAACGUGUAGCUGGCUAGGUAACCUCGGUAGUUUCAGUACUACACCUUGUCAUGAUACAAAGCAACUUUGUAGCUAGCUAGCUAACAUAACACUAAUCAAGACGUUCCUUGUAUUGUAUUUAGUUUCAACAAUGCUGCUCGUCGGUAAUAGUUGGCUAGGUUAGGAAAAAUGGCGUCGCGGGGGACGGAAAUAGCUGGCUAGCUAACCUCGAUGGCUGGCUAGCUAACAAUUAUCAAGCUAUGACAAAGACAACUAGGUAGCUCGCUAGGUAACACUGCACUAGUCAAAUCGUUCCGUUGUGAAGUAUUAGUAACUACAGCGCUGCUAGUCGGUAACGGAUGGCUAUCUGGCAGUGGGUUAAUGAUGACUAGGUGUGUUGAGUAAGUCUGGCGCCGCGUCGCGGCUGGCUAGCACACCUCGAUAAUACUCAAACUCAAACUACACAAUUAUCUUAGAUACAGAGACAGCACAGACAACUAUGUAGCUGGCUAACUAACACUAACACCACACUAAUCAAGUCGUUGCGUUGUAAUGUAAUAGUUUCUGCGGUACUGUUAGUCGGUAGAAGUUGGCUAGCUAACAGUGAUGACUAGCUAGCUAGCAGCUAGCAGUGUUGACUACGUUAGGAGGACGAAGAUAGCUAGCCUCGAUAAUUACUCAGUUACUCUAAACUACACAAUUAUCUUUGAUACAAAGACGGCUAUGUAGCUAGCUAAGAAGAAUUGCUCAGAUCAGACCAAUUGCAAUGGUGACUAAUAGUGAUAAAUUGCACAUUUAAACUUUGCUUAUCGAGAUCUGUGCUUUAUGUGGACAGUUUGGAUGAGGAAAAUUAUUUAAUUUAGUCAGUGGUGUAAAGUGCUUAAGUAAAAAUGCUUUACAGUACUACAUAAGAUGUUUUUGGGGGUAUCUGUAUUCUACUAUUUCUCUUAUUUGUAAACUUUUACUUGACUACAUUUCUAAAGAAAAUAAUGCACAUUUUACUCCAUACAUUUUCACUGACACCCAAAAGUACUCGUUAUAUUUUGAAUGCUUAGCAGGACAGGAAAAUUGUCCAAUUCAUGCACUUGUCAAGAGAACAUCCCUGGUCAUCCUAAUGCCUCUGAUCUGGUGGACUCACUAAACAUAUGCUUUGUUUGUAAAUGUUCGAGUGUGCCCCUGGCUAUCUGUAAAUAGAAAUAAGAAAAUGUGCCAUUUGGUUUACUUAAUAUAAGGAAAUUGAAAUGAUUUAUACUUUUACUUUUAAUAAAAAAGUAUGUUUAAAACGAAAUACGUUUAGACAUUACUCAAGUAGUAUUUUACUGGGUGACUUUUACUUGAGUCAUUUUCUACUAAGGUAUCUUUACUUUUACUCAAGUAUGACACUUAGGUACUUUUCCACCACUGAAUUUAAUCGACUUCACCCUUAAUUACCCACUUUCUCUCCCGCUCUCUUUCUCUCCUCUCUCUAUCGUAGCAGCAAGAGGAGGGAAUACUUCACAUGAUGGUGCUACAUCACAUACCAACAGCCAUAAUGACAGCUAUAAUGACAGCCAUGACGACAACCGUGUUGACAAAAGUCAACACAUAUCAGGCCAAAGCAUAUCAAGCGAUAUGAAAGGCAAUUUUUCCAUUGGCAACCAGACCAACAUCACCAGUCAUUCCGCUCCACCAAAAACUCCCCAAAAAUCUGUCGUACCCAGCUUCACCAUUGCCAACGUUACAGGCGGCAAAGUGCGUCUCUACUACAAGUCAGAGGAGAUGGCUCUCAGUGACCUCAUCGAGGGGUGUAAACUCAAGAAGGGCGACUCCAUGCUCAUCCUGGAAGGCACCGUUAAGAAGAGCGUUCUCCCGCAUAAACUCUAUGUCACUGGCUUCCAAGUAGAAAAUGACAAUACUCAAUUAUGCCCUGAGGAAGGCCCAAUUUAUGGGAUGAACAACCUCCUGGCAGAGUAUGCUGAGGGUCAACCCAAGUCCUACAUCCUCACUGCUGACAAAGAGGUGAAGAUAGCUGAAACAGGAAAGAUCUGGAUGGAUGAGGACGGGUUGGAUCACAACCCCAAAAAGUAACGCCACCAGAGAACCUCCUGUAUCUUAACACCCUUUAUUAUUCACAGAUUAAACUACUUACAAAUUAUUGAUGAAAAAUAAAGAGAGUAUACAUCACAGAUAAGUGAAAUAGUGCUUCAAGAUACACUCUGUGUAUGGUAGAAAUCAGCAAUGUUAUCACUGUAGUUUUGUGACAAAUAAAUAAAUGUUACCUAACUGAGAAAACGUUAGUGUGUGUGUGUGUGUGUGUGUGUGUGUGUGUGAUUACAUUACAUGAUUGGAGAUGCCACCAGAUAUGCUACAUACGGAUACUUAUGUUAACAACGGUCAACAACACAAGAUUGUAAUAUACGUUUUAUUUCUAUGGUUGUAGUCAUUUUAUUUCAAGCAUACAAAGUGAUGGUGCAAGACACUUACAGGGAGCACAAAUAUAUAUAGCAGAGAAAAAGCCUGCAUAUUUCCUCAUUUCCUUGGAAUUGAAGAUCAUGUGAACUAGAAUGUUAGAUACAGUGCAUUCGGAAAGUGUUCAGAACCCUUCAGACUUUUUCUACAUUUUGUUACGUUACAGUCAUAUUCUAAAAUGGAUUAAAUACUUUUUUCUACACACAAUGCCCCAUAAUGACAAAGCAAAAACAGAUUUUUAGACAUUUUUGCAAAUGUAAAUUUAUUAAAAACUCCAAAAUAACUUAUUUACCUGUGCAUACGAAUUCAGAUCCUUUGCUAUGAUCGAAAUUGAGUUCAGUUGCAUCCUGUUUCCAUUAAUCAUCCUUGAGAUGUUUCUAUAACUUGAUUGGAGUCCACCUGUGGUAAAUUCAAUUGGUUGGACAUGAUUUGGAAAGGCACACACCUGUCUAUAUAAGGUUCCACAGUUGACAGUGCAUGUCAGAGCAAAAACCAAGCCAUGAGGACAAAAGAAUUGUCCAUAGACCUUCAAGACAGGAUUGUGUCAAGUCCCAAAUCUGGGGAAGGGUACCAAAAC
rnacentral:lncRNA from 1 species